rnacentral:rRNA from 1 species
UACGUAGGGGGCUAGCGUUGUUCGGAUUCAUUGGGCGUAAAGGGUGCGUAGGUGGCGCCGUAAGUGGGGUGUGAAAUUUCGGAGCUUAACUCCGAAACUGCAUUCCAUACUGCGGUGCUUGAGGACUGGAGAGGAGACUGGAAUUUACGGUGUAGCAGUGAAAUGCGUAGAGAUCGUAAGGAAGACCAGUGGCGAAGGCGGGUCUCUGGACAGUUCCUGACACUGAGGCACGAAGGCCAGGGGAGCAAACGGG